UCGUUUAAUCUGAAGAUGAUCUUAAAAGAAGAGAAUUUUGAAAGGAAACAAGUACAAACUCAAUUUUAAGACAAUACAACAAGAAUUUGAUACGAUGUUAUUAGUUCAGAACUACACAAACCCAAAAUGAAACGGCAAUCUAAACAAUAACAAUCCAGCCCAUCAUUACGUAGGAAUAAUGAAACUAAACAAGAUAAAAUCCUAGAAUACCGAUUUUACGGAAGUGAUAGUCUGUAUGAAAGUGAGGAUGAGCAGGAUAGCUGCUGCAACAGUUGCCGUACCUCUCCAAAUAUUGGCGAAAUAUACAAGUUUCAAGGUUGCCUU
rnacentral:lncRNA from 1 species